UACGGAGGGGGCUAGCGUUGUUCGGAAUUACUGGGCGUAAAGCGCCCGUAGGCGGCUUUGUAAGUUAGAGGUGAAAGCCCGGAGCUCAACUCCGGAAUUGCCUUUAAGACUGCAUCGCUAGAAUUGUGGAGAGGUAAGUGGAAUUCCGAGUGUAGAGGUGAAAUUCGUAGAUAUUCGGAAGAACACCAGUGGCGAAGGCGACUUACUGGACACAUAUUGACGCUGAGGUGCGAAAGCGUGGGGAGCAAACAGG
rnacentral:rRNA from 1 species